AUACAAAUAAUGAAUGUUUCUAUUCGUGCAAUGGUAAGAAUAUUUUCAUUCGGUGAAAGAUGGAACAUUCCAUCUUUCACCGAAGGAAAAUAUUCUUACCAUUGCACGAAUAGAAACAUAAAUUCAUUAUUUGUUU